GUCACUAAUAUAAAUACUACACCAGUUAUUUGAGAAUCAUAAGUCGAGUACCUUUCAUCAAGGAUAAAAAUGUUCAAGUUGUGUAUUUUUGCCGCUAUCCUCGCCGUUGCUGUGGCUUCUCCGGCACCUGAAGCAAAGGCUGACCC
rnacentral:misc_RNA from 1 species